GAGACACCCUUCUGGGGCAAGACUUGCUUCGGUGGGGCUUUGGUGCUCACUGAGUCUGACCACUGAGUGUGUCCCU
rnacentral:pre_miRNA from 1 species